GAUGAACGCUAGCGGGAGGCCUAACACAUGCAAGCCGAGCGGUAGAAUCUUUUCGGAGAUUUGAGAGCGGCGUACGGGUGAGGAACACGUGUGCAACCUGCCUGUAUCUGGGAGAUAGCCUUUCGAAAGGAAGAUUAACAUCCAAUAAUAUAUUGAGUGGCAUCACUGAAUAUUGAAAGCACCGGCGGAUAGAGAUGGGAACGCGCAAGAUUAGAUAGUUGGUGAGGUAACGGCUCACCAAGUCUACGAUCUUUAGGGGGCCUGAGAGGGUGAUCCCCCACACUGGUCCUGAGACACGGACCAGACUCCUGCGGGAGGCAGCAGUGAGGAAUAUUGGACAAUGGGUGCAAGCCUGAUCCAGCCAUCCCGCGUGAAGGAUUAAGGUCCUAUGGAUUGUAAACUUCUUUUAUACAGGGAUAAACCUCUCCUCGUGAGGAGAGCUGAAGGUACUGUAUGAAUAAGCACCGGCUAACUCCGUGCCAGCCGCCGCAGUAA
rnacentral:rRNA from 1 species